CGAACGAGAAAGGGGAGCAAUCCCUGAGUAAAGUGGCGUACGGGUGAGUAACACGUGGGUAAUCUGCCCUUUGGUGGGGAAUAGCCCUGGGAAACCGGGGAUAAUACCGCAUAAGUCCGAGAGGAGAAAGCAGCAAUGCGCCGAAGGAGGAGCCCGCGGCCGAUUAGCUAGUUGGUAGGGUAAAAGCCUACCAAGGCAAAGAUCGGUAGCCGGCCUGAGAGGGCACACGGCCACACUGGCACUGAAACACGGGCCAGACUCCUACGGGAGGCAGCAGUGGGGAAUCUUGCACAAUGGGGGAAACCCUGAUGCAGCGACGCCGCGUGAGCGAUGAAGCCCUUCGGGGUGUAAAGCUCUUUCGGCAGGGAAGAUGAUGACGGUACCUGCAGAAGCAGCUGCGGCUAACUACGUGCCAGCAGCCGCGGUAAUACGUAGGCAGCAAGCGUUGUUUGGAGUUACUGGGCGUAAAGGGUGUGUAGGCGGUUCUUUAAGUUUGGUGUGAAAUCUCCCGGCUUAACCGGGAGGGUGCGCCGAAUACUGAGGAACUAGAGUGCGGGAGAGGAAAGUGGAAUUCCUGGUGUAGCGGUGAAAUGCGUAGAUAUCAGGAGGAACACCGGUGGUGUAGACGGCUUUCUGGACCGUAACUGACGCUGAAACACGAAAGCGUGGGUAGCAAACAGGAUUAGAUACCCUGGUAGUCCACGCCCUAAACGAUGCAUAUUUGGGUGUGGGUCAUUCAGUUGAUCCGUGCCAGAGCUAACGCGUUAAAUAUGCCGCCUGGGGAGUACAGUCGCAAGGCUGAAACUCAAAGGGAAUUGACGGGGGC
rnacentral:rRNA from 1 species